GCUCCGGUGGCCAAGUUGGAUUAAGGCAUGUGGCUUAUGCUUCUCAGUUUCGCCGCUCGAGAUCAUACAUUCAGAAUCGCAGAAAAGGAGUCUUUUCUUUAACAAAAAUUUAACCGCGAGAUCGUGGGUUCGAGUCCCACCCGGAGCA
rnacentral:tRNA from 1 species